rnacentral:lncRNA from 1 species
CUAAUUAUCCUAAUCUUAAGUUUUUUAUUCUAAUUAUUUAUAAACCUAAAAUAUUCCUAAUCCUAUUUUAAUAGUAAAACAAAAUAAUAGGGAAAUAAAAAAAGAAAGGUUUAAGAAAAUAAAGGGGCUUAAAGCAUAAUCCAGAGUUAAAGGCCCAAAAAGAAUUUAUUGAAAAGUAUUUUUCAGCAAAGAAACAAAAAAAAACAAUAGGCCUAAGAAAAAAGCGAAUGAGCUCGAAUUAAAAUAAUGUGAGAAAAAA